GAAAACCUUUGAACUUGAAUCAAUCGAUCCCGAAUAUGAUUAUGUCAGGAAGGGAUACGAAAAGUUUGUCGGUCUUCGUGAGAAGUGGCCUCAGUUGAAAGUGAUGAUUGCUGUGGGCGGAUGGGCCGAAGGUGGUGCUAAAUAUUCAAAUAUGGUCGCUGAUGAAGGAAGAAGAAAAACUUUCAUCUCUUCUGUGGUAUCGUUUCUGAGAAAAUAUAAAUUCGAUGGGUUCGAUUUGGAUUGGGAAUAUCCUGGAGCCACUGAUCGCCAAGGAAAAUAUUCUGAUAAAGAAAAUUUCCUUAAAUUAGUAAAAGAAAUGAAAGCUGCAUUUGAUGACGACAAAUAUAUUUUAUCUGCUGCUGUUCCUGUUGCCAAGUUUCGUCUACAAGAAGGUUACGAAGUUUAUGAUUUAGCGAGG
rnacentral:misc_RNA from 1 species